GCUCCGUCUGGCCCAGGUGGUUACGUGCUGUUAGUUUCGCGCUUUGAGGAGGUUUGUCUCCCGGCGUGACCCGUCCUCCACCCGGAAGUGUCCGGACCCGUGAUCUUUACUCUCCGCGGCGGACACACAUGGACUCCUGGGUCCGAUUCAGCAGCCAGAGCCAGGCCAAGGAGCGGCUCCUCAGAGCGGCUCAGUAUGCCUGCACAUUAUUGGGGUACACGCUGCAGAAGAAUGGGGCCGGUACUGACGUCCUGACCACCAUCAAACAGCUGGAGGCGCACCUGAGCCUUGGGAGGAAGUUGUUCAGACUGGGCAACUCUGUGGACGCCUUGGAGUCAGCAAAGCGCGCCAUCCAUCUGUCGGACGUGGUACUGCGCCUCUGCAUUACCGUCAGCCACCUGAACAGAGCCAUGUACUUCGCCUGCGACAACAUCCUGUGGCUGGGGAAGAGCGGCCUGUCCAAGGAGAUGGACCAGGAGAAGUGGAGCCUGCGCUCCUUCAGAUAUUAUCUCUUUGCUCUCAUCAUGAACCUGAGCCGCGAUCUUUAUGAGAUUAAAUUACUGAUGGAAGCGGAGAACAGCGGCAAACGCUCCUCCUCCAAAGUGUGGUCGGAGAACGGCGCGGUGUCCCAGGGCGCUCCCCACCACCCCCUGGCGCUGCAGCUGCGUCUGCUCGUACAUGUGCUGCGCAGUAACCCCCCGCUCCUGCUGGACCUGGUGAAGAACGCCUGCGACCUCUUCAUCCCUCUGGACAAGCUGGGACUAUACAAGACCAACCCCGGGGUGGUGGGACUGUGCGGCCUGACCUCCUCCAUACUGUCCAUCCUCACCAUCCUCCACCCCUGGCUCAAGCUGAAGCCCUGAGUGGGCAAGGCCUCUCCAUUCAGGGGCGUGGGAAAGCUGGGUGACCUUUUCCGGACCUCGAUUUACAGGAGUCGUCUGUGAUCAGACAUCCCUAAUGCACCCUGGUUGGGGAACACUCCCCUAAUAUGACACAAUCCCCCUCAGCUCAUUACUUCCUUCUCUCCUGCUCGCCCCCUUGUCUCUGGUUGCUGUGGGUUCCAGAGGCUCCGCCCAGGAGGAGCCAUGUCCAGACACUGCCUGUGUUAACCCUAUAAUGGCUGUAUGCCUCCUGACACCCGAUUUCCCCCCCCCCC